UACAGAGGUCCCAAGCGUUGUUCGGAUUUACUGGGCGUAAAGGGUGCGUAGGUGGCGAGGUAAGUUCGAUGUGAAAUCUCCGAGCUCAACUCGGAAAUGGCAUUGAAUACUAUCCCGCUUGAGGGUCGGAGGGGAGACUGGAAUUCUCGGUGUAGCAGUGAAAUGCGUAGAUACCGAGAGGAACACCAGUGGCGAAGGCGAGUCCCUGGACAAUACCUGACACUGAGGCACGAAAGCUAGGGGAGCAAACAGG
rnacentral:rRNA from 1 species